CUGACUUCCUCCUCUAUGGACUAAACAAGUUUCGGUUUAAGAGAAACGCCAUUUUGUGGAAUAAGGAAGCAAAUCACUGGCAGGAGAAAAACACAGUUUAAAGGUGUAAUCAUGCGAGAUAAUACCUCCAACAUGAGUGUGUCUGUGAACCAGCGCUUAAAGAAAGAUGAGAGUCUGAUUCAGGGUGAGAGAUCAGACUCACCUGAACCCAGCUGUGUGUCCAUGAAGAGUGACGCGUCAAUGGGUCAUCCAAUACACUUUAGAGACACAGACUGUGCUACUGAUCUGAGGUGAGGACAGUUUAAUGUA